rnacentral:rRNA from 1 species
AGAAUCAACGCUGGCGGCGUGCCUAACACAUGCAAGUCGAACGAGAAAGUGGAGCAAUCCAUGAGUAAAGUGGCGCACGGGUGAGUAACACGUGACUAACCUACCCUUGAGUGGGGGAUAACCUAGAGAAAUUUGGGCUAAUACCGCAUAAUACCUUCGGGUCAAAGGAGCAAUUCGCUUAAGGAGGGGGUCGCGGCCGAUUAGUUAGUUGGCGGGGUAAUGGCCCACCAAGACUAUGAUCGGUAU